rnacentral:lncRNA from 1 species
GUUGGUUUCAACACAUCAAUUUUGAGAGGACACCAACAUUCAGUCCAUAACAGAUGCCUAAUAAGAACCAGAUAUAUUACACCUGGAUCAGCAAAGCUCUGAUCUAUAACCUACUAAAGUCUUGUGGUCUGCGCAGUCGCCUUGAUGCCUAGCUCGCCUGCCUGGAGGAGGAAAGGUCCCUAAGUAUGCGGCUGCCUUCUUGCCCCAGAAUCCUCCAUCCAGUCUGGAGCCACAAUUUGCCAGGCGGGAGUUGCUGGCCGUUUGGUCACAAGCUUCACACUCUCUUUGGUUUCUGAUCACCUGGGGGCAAAGUCACUUUCACCUCAGUACCCCUCUCCAUGUAUGGUGUGUGGUUCCUAAAAUACAUGAAGUAGCUGCUGAAUGAAUGCAAGCAUAGAUGCAUGAACAAAUGAACCAGUGAAGGAUGUGGUUAAUGACUACCCCUCUCAUUCUCUCUGUAAUAACAACGCAUCUGUUUUGGAAAGAAGUAAAAAUGCCACAAAUAUA